rnacentral:tRNA from 1 species
UGCGGGGUGGAGCAGCCCGGUAGCUCGUUGGGCUCAUAACCCAAAGGUCACAGGUUCAAAUCCUGUCCCCGCAACCA